ACGGAAGGCAGCAGUAGGGAAUAUUGCACAAUGGGGGAAACCCUGAUGCAGCAACGCCACGUGUGGGAAGACGCAUUUCGGUGUGUAAACCACUGUCGUGAGGGAAUAAGGACGCUUCUCGGAGCGUUUGAAUGUACCUCGAAAGGAAGCACCGGCAAACUUCGUGCCAGCAGCCGCGGUAAUACGAGGGGUGCAAGCGUUGUUCGGAAUCACUGGGCGUAAAGGGAGCGCAGGCGGAAGUGCAAGCGGUCUGUACAAUACCGGGGCCCAACCCCGGACCUGCAGACCGGACUGCAUUUCUUGGAUAGUUCAGGGGCAAGCGGAAUUCCUGGUGUAGCGGUGGAAUGCGUAGAGAUCAGGAAGAACACCGAUGGCGAAGGCAGCCUGCUGGGGACUCAUCGACGCUGAGGCUCGAAAGUGCGGGUAGCAAACAGGAUUAGAUACCCUGGUA
rnacentral:rRNA from 1 species